AUGCUAAAUGGGUUGAAUUCAUUGAGAAUUUCCCUUAUGUCAUUAAACACAACAAGGGUAAAGACAAUGUUAUUGCUGAUGCAUUGUCUCGUCGUUAUACUAUGCUUUCACAACUUGACUUUAAAAUAUUUGGUUUCGAGGCCAUCAAAGAUCAAUAUGUGCAUGAUGCUAAAUUUAAAGAUGUAUUGCAGAAUUGUAAGAAAGGGAGAACUUGGAACAAGUUUGUUGUUAACGAUGGAUUUGUGUUUCGUGCUAACAAGCUAUGCAUUCCAGCUAGCUCUGUUCGUCUUUUGUUGUUGCAGGAGGCGCAUGGAGGAGGAUUAA
rnacentral:rRNA from 1 species